GACGAACGCUGGCGACGUGCUUAACACAUGCAAGUCGAACGGAAAGGCCCUGCUUUUGUGGGGUGCUCGAGUGGCGAACGGGUGAGUAACACGUGAGUAACCUGCCCUUGACUUUGGGAUAACUUCAGGAAACUGGGGCUAAUACCGGAUAGGAGCUCCUGCUGCAUGGUGGGGGUUGGAAAGUUUCGGCGGUUGGGGAUGGACUCGCGGCUUAUCAGCUUGUUGGUGGGGUAGUGGCUUACCAAGGCUUUGACGGGUAGCCGGCCUGAGAGGGUGACCGGCCACAUUGGGACUGAGAUACGGCCCAGACUCCUACGGGAGGCAGCAGUGGGGAAUAUUGCACAAUGGGCGGAAGCCUGAUGCAGCAACGCCGCGUGCUGGAUGACGGCCUUCGGGUUGUAAACCGCUUUCGCCUGUGACGAAGCGUGAGUGACGGUAAUGGGUAAAGAAGCACCGGCUAACUACGUG
rnacentral:rRNA from 1 species